UGCCUCCCAAGUGCUGGGAUUAAAGGCGUGCGCCGCCACCGCCCAGCGCUUUGUUAUCAUCUUUACAGAACCAUUGUCACAUCUGUACAUGGACUGUCACAUGCUUCGUGGUUAUUAUGCAGCAUGUGGCAUUGUUUGGAAUGAAACCUUUCCUGGGACAUGGCUAGCUGGGAUGAAUGUUCUUCCAGAUGUGCACUGAGGCAAUUAUUUCAGAUGUGUAUUAGUUAGGGCUCUCUAUUCCAUUCUCCCUGCAUGAUGAUUAAUCUUCAUUCUCAACUUGAAUCCCCUUGGUAACAUCCUUUGUGUGUAUUUAUGUGUGUAUUCCAGAAAAAGUUGAACCUCGUGGCAUGAUUUACUCCAAAUGCAGGUAGUACUAUCUCAUGAGCUGGGAUCUUAAACUGAAUGAAAAAGUCAGGCUGAGCACCAGCAUUCAUUUCCCUCUCCCUGUGAGUCUGGACAAUUACUUUUCUGUGGCUGUGAAGAGUCUACAUGAUCAAGGCAACCUAUAAGAGAAAAUGUUUAUUGGAGCUCCUGGUUCCAGAGGGUUAGAGUUUAUGAUCAUCAUGGCAGGGAGCAUGGCAGCAGGCAGGCAGGCACAGUACUGAGGCAGUAGCUAAGGGCUUACAUCCCAAUCCACAGACUGGAGGCAGAGAGACGGUAGCUAUCUGGGAAUGGCAUGGGCUUUUGAAACCUCAAAGCCCACUCCAAUGGCACACCUCUUCCAACAAGGCCACACCUCCUCAAACAAGGCCACAUCAUCUUCUAAUUCUUCCCAAACAAUACUAUAAACUACAUACCAAGCAUCCAAAUAUAUGAGCCUAUGACUCCCAUUCUAUGUCCACCAUAGUGACCAACCACUUCAUUCUCCUGAUGCCCUGACUCCCCAGCUAUGAUGGAUUGUACCCCUAAUUGUCAGAUAAAAUAAAACCUUUUCUUGAGUUGCUUUUAUAAAGUAUUCUGUUACGGAAAUGAGGAAAAUGAUUAGCAGCAUACCAUGCUUAUACAUUUAUCUCAUAAAUAGCCUUAAGUUCUACUCAUAGCACUUGGCCUACUGUCUUUAUCAGGAUUUCUUCCUGACCAACUUUCUCUUUCUACUUUGUUUAUUUCCUUGAGAUAGUGUGGUGAUUUGAAUACUCUGGGCCCAUGAGCAGUGGCACUAUUAGGAGGUGUGGCCUUGUUGGAGGAAGUACAUCACUGUGGAGGUGGGCUUUGAGGUCCUAUGCUCAAGGUUUGCUCAGUGUGAAAGAGAGCCUCCUCCUGGCUGCCCGAAGCCAGACCCCUCCUGGCUGCCUUUGGAUCAAGAUGUAGAACACUUGCUCCUCUAGUACCAUGUCUGCCUGCAUGUUGUCAUACUUCUUACCAUGAUGACAAUGGACUGAACCUUUGAAACCAUGAGCCAGCUGCAGUUAAAUUCUUUAAAGUAUUUAACUGUUCUUUAUAAGAGUUGCCUUAGUCAUUGUGUCGGUUCACAGAAAUAAAACUGAAACUAAGACAGAUAAGCUUACUUGGAGCUGAGGUUGGCCUCAAACUCAGGAUCCUCCAUCAUCAACCUCCCUAGUGUUGGGUUUGUAGGUAUGCACUACCAUGUCUAGCUUAUUAUUUUAAAUUAUAAUUUAAUUUCAUAGUAUAAAAUGAACUCGCCUUAAGGAUACAGUUUAUUGCAUUUUAGUGUUUGUGGAAUUGCAUAGCCAUCAGCAGUCUAAGUUUAGAACACUUGCAUCACUCUCAAAUAUCUAUACCCAUAUGCAAUCACCCUGUUACCGCCUCAGCCCCAAGCAUGCACUAAUCUACUCCCUGUCCUUUAGAUAACGGGAAGAUACCUUCAAAACUGUAGUGUCAUUCUUAUGCUUAGCAAAGUCCGAGAGUCAUCACUUCAGGCUUCCCAGCAGAAUUUAGGUACAUUGACCAUGUCAAAAUUUUGACUAUGGAAGCAGCUUUUAAAUGAGGCAACAUCAUUCGUUCUUGAAUUUCAUAGGGACCCUCACAAUAUUCUUAGCUUUAGAUUUUUUAAAAAUAAUGUAUGUGUUCAAAACUUCAACCAUAUAUAAACUGUACUCUCACAGUAGUCUCUCCAUCUCUCAUCCCCACCUUCUGCUGAAACCCUUCUUCUUCCCAACCUGACUUUAGAGCUUUAUUAAAAUGGACGUUUUCACCUUCUUUUUACUAUUGGAUUCAGGUCAACUCAGAACUGCUUAUCUGCCCCCAUAGAAAUCACCGCUGGCCACUCUAGCUUUGACUCAGCACCACAUGCACUUUAGAGAUGAAGAAACAAAGAGUCUGAACUGUGAACAUUUGAGUUGUCUCACCCCCUCCCAAAGCUUCCUAUGCUGUUUUGACUUUCACAUAGUCCCCAAACUGAGUAGCUUAAUUAGAAAGAAGAGAACUGCUUAGCUAUAGCCUCAUUUCCCUUUGAGUUGGAAGUUGAAGCUUUUGACAUUUUUUGAAAAGCAUAGGUGUCUGACUAGAGACCAGUACAGCAUCCAUCAUAUGUUCAGAAAGGUUGAAUCAAAUCGAUCCUUAAAAUUUUAUGUAAGAUUUCCUUGAAUGCCUUAACAUCUGUCUUUAUCUUUGGCUGUCAGGGCUCUUAGGAUUAUAUUUUCAGUCCCCUGUGGUAGUGCCUGACAUGAAAUGGAUGCUUGGGAAGGUUUGUUCUAUAAAUCAAGGAAGAAAUAGCAUUGUAACCAAGACCUGAUAAGUUUUUAACAGUUUACUGCUUUAUUUUUGUCAGGUCUUGGGUCUCUUUUCUGAUAAUGGAGAGAUUAGAGGGCAGCUUUAAUAAUUACACAUUUUGGUUCUAGGAGACAUUAGG
rnacentral:lncRNA from 1 species